AGCGAACGCUGGCGGUAGGCCUAACACAUGCAAGUCGAACGGCAGCACAGUAAGAGCUUGCUCUUACGGGUGGCGAGUGGCGGACGGGUGAGGAAUAAAUCGGAAUCUACUUUUUCGUGGGGGAUAACGUAGGGAAACUUACGCUAAUACCGCAUACGACCUACGGGUGAAAGCAGGGGAUCUUCGGACCUUGCGCGAUUGAAUGAGCCGAUGUCGGAUUAGGUAGUUGGCGGGGUAAAGGCCCACCAAGGCGACGAUCCGUAGCUGGUCUGAGAGGAUGAUCAGCCCCACUGGAACUGAGACACGGUCCUGGCUCCUACGGGAGGCAGCAGUGGGGAAUAUUGGACGAUGGGCGCAAGCCUGAUCCAGCCGUACCGCGUGGGUGAAGAAGGCCUUCGGGUUGUAAAGCCCUUUUGUUGGGAAAGAAAGGCAGCAGGUUAAUACCCCGCUGUUCUGACGGUACCCAAUGAAUAAGCACCGGCUAACUUCGUG
rnacentral:rRNA from 1 species